UAAAUUAAAAUUAUUAAUAUUUUUAUUUUUUUUUGAUUUUUUAUAAAAGUAAUUUAUUUAUUUAGAGUUUUAGUAUUUAGUAAAAAUUAAUUUAUAGAUUUAUAGUUUAAUAGUAUUGUAAAAGAAUUAAUUAAAUUUUUAAAAGAAUAUUUUUAGUACCUUUUGUAUCAGGGUUGAUUAAAAUUUUUAAUUUUUUUUUAAUUUCUCAAAAUUUAUAGAGUUAAUUUUAUUAUUAAUUUAUUGUGUUAUAAAUAUUUAAAAAAUAAUAUUAGUUUUGAAAUUUAAUUCGUUAUAUUAUAUUUAGUUAUUUAGAUUUAAAUUUAAUUUAAAAUUUUAAAAGUUAUAUUGAUUUUUUAUAUUAAUAUUUUAAAUUUAAAUUAUUUUAGGGAUAAGCUUGAAAUUUUUAUAUAAUAAUUUAUUUAUUUUAAUAAUUUAUAGGAAUAGAAAUUUUUAUUUAAGUUUGUAAAAAUUUAUUAUUUAUUUAUUUUUAAUUUAUUAUAAAUUUAUUUAUUUUUUAUAUUAAAUUUUAUUAAUUAAUAUUUAAUUAAUAGUAAUAAUGAUUAAAUUAGUAUAAUUUUUAUUUAUAAAUUAUGAAUUCGGCAAAAAUUAUUUUCAUCUGUUUAACAAAAACAUUGUAUUAAGUUUAAUUUAAUAUAGGAUCUGCUCAAUGAUUUAUUAAAUAGCUGCAGUAUUUUGACUGUGCAAAGGUAGCAUAAUAAUUAGUCUUUUAAUUGAGGACUUGUAUGAAAGAUUUGAUGAGAAAUAAACUUUAUUAUUUAUAUAAUUAAAAUUUUAUUUUUAAGUAAAAAAGCUUAAAUUAUUUAAAGGGACGAUAAGACCCUAUAAAACUUUAUAAAUAUUAAUUUUGAUUUUUUUGGAUUUAUAAAUAUUUUAAUUUUAUUAUUUAUUUUAUUGGGGUGAUAAAAAAAAUUAUUAAACUUUUUUUAAAAUUUUACAUUAUUUAAUGAGUAUUUGAAUUAAAAUUUUUAAUUAAAGGAAAAAGUUACUUUAGGGAUAACAGCGUAAUUAAUUUUUUAAGUUCAAAUUUAAAAAUUAGUUUGCGACCUCGAUGUUGAAUUAAGAUUAAUCUUAGGUGCAAAAUUUUAAGUAUUAGGUCUGUUCGACCUUUAAAUUCUUACAUGAUUUGAGUUCAAACCGGUGUAAGCCAGGUUGGUUUCUAUCUUUUAAAAAAUAAAUUAUUUUAGUACGAAAGGAUUAAAUAAUUAAAUUAAAUUUUUAUUAAAUGAAUUAAAUUA
rnacentral:rRNA from 1 species